rnacentral:tRNA from 1 species
UAGGAUGUGGUGUAAUGGGAGCACAAAGGGUUUUGAGUUCUUUAAUAUAGGUUCGAGUCCUAUCAUUCUAG